GUGAGACCAAGCAAAAACUUCUAAAGCCUACUGGUGAGCACAAGAAAUAUGAUAAACAACCAAGCAUUAGGAAACUAUCAAUGAUUGGUUGGAUCUGAUGGAGAUGUUAAGAAAAAUGCAAAGACAAAUGGAUGAAUGCAGAGGAAGUAUGAGAUGAGAUAAAAACAUUAUCAGAUUAUUCAGGAAGAGAAGGGUGAUAAAGAUCUUGUGUCAUCCAUCCCAACUCUUCAAGAACCAAUUAAGCAACCCCGGGAUACACCAGACCAAACAGUCCAGAAACUGCAGUGGUAGCAAAGAC
rnacentral:sRNA from 1 species